ACAAGAUGUGGCACUCAUCAGAUAAAUUAGCCUUAUCUAAAUUAUAUAUUAUAAAUAAGGUUAAUUUAUCUGAUGAGUGCCACAUCUUGU